rnacentral:misc_RNA from 1 species
GAUGAAGAACGCAGCGAAAUGCGAUAAGCAAUGUGAAUUGCAGAAUUCAGUGAAUCAUCGAAUCUUUGAACGCACAUUGCGCCCGCCAGUAUUCUGGCGGGCAUGCCUGUUCGAGCGUCAUUUCAACCCUCAAGCCCCCGGGCUUGGUGUUGGGGAUCGGCGUGCCCUCGCGGCGCGCCGUCCCCUAAAUCUAGUGGCGGUCUCGCUGUAGCUUCCUCUGCGUAGUAGCAACACUCGCACUGGAUCGCAGCGCGGCCACGCCGUUAAACCCCCCACUUCUGAAAGUUUGACCUCGGAUCAGGUAGGAAUACCCGCUGAACUUAAGCAUAUCAAUAAGCGGAGGA